GUCUGCGAAGUCGUAAUAUUUAAUUGCGAAGCAAGUAAAUAUUACAUAGGGUUUCUCGCUAUGGGAUGAGGCUAUAUCGUAUCAGCUAGUUGGUAGGGUAAUGGCUUACCAAGGCUAUGACGCGUAACUGGUCUGAGAGGAUGAUCAGUCACACUGGAACUGAGACACGGUCCAGACUCCUACGGGAGGCAGCAGUAGGGAAUAUUGCUCAAUGGGGGAAACCCUGAAGCAGCAACGCCGCGUGGAGGAUGACACUUUUCGGAGCGUAAACUCCUUUUCUUGGGGAAGAAAUUUGACGGUACCCAAGGAAUAAGCACCGGCUAACUCCGUGCCAGCAGCCGCGGUAAUACGGAGGGUGCAAGCGUUACUCGGAAUCACUGGGCGUAAAGGACGCGUAGGCGGAUUAUCAAGUCUCUUGUGAAAUCCAAUGGCUUAACCAUUGAACUGCUUGAGAAACUGAUAAUCUAGAGUGAGGGAGAGGCAGAUGGAAUUGGUGGUGUAGGGGUAAAAUCCGUAGAGAUCACCAGGAAUACCCAUUGCGAAGGCGAUCUGCUGGAACUCAACUGACGCUAAUGCGUGAAAGCGUGGGGAGCAAACAGGAUUAGAUACCCUGGUAGUCCACGCCCUAAACGAUGUAUACUAGUUGUUGCUAAGCUAGUCUUGGCAGUAAUGCACCUAACGGAUUAAGUAUACCGCCUGGGGAGUACGGUCGCAAGAUUAAAACUCAAAGGAAUAGACGGGGACCCGCACAAGCGGUGGAGCAUGUGGUUUAAUUCGAAGAUACGCGAAGAACCUUACCCGGACUUGAUAUCUAACAAAUCAUCUAGAGAUAGAAGAGUGUCUGCUUGCAGAAAUGUUAAGACAGGUGCUGCACGGCUGUCGUCAGCUCGUGUCGUGAGAUGUUGGGUUAAGUCCCGCAACGAGCGCAACCCACGUCAUUAGUUGCUAACGGUUCGGCCGAGCACUCUAAUGAGACUGCCUUCGCAAGGAGGAGGAAGGUGUGGACGACGUCAAGUCAUCAUGGCCCUUAUGUCCGGGGCGACACACGUGCUACAAUGGCAUAUACAAUGAGACGCAAUAUCGCGAGAUGGAGCAAAUCUAUAAAAUAUGUCCCAGUUCGGAUUGGAGUCUGCAACUCGACUCCAUGAAGCCGGAAUCGCUAGUAAUCGUAGAUCAGCCAUGCUACGGUGAAUACGUUCCCGGGUCUUGUACUCACCGCCCGUCACACCAUGGGAGUUGAUUUCACUCGAAGCCCAAAUACCAAACCGGUUAUGGUCCACAGUGGAAUCAGCGACUGGGGUGAAGUCGUAACAAGGUAACCGUAGGAGAACCUGCGGUUG
rnacentral:rRNA from 2 species